AAAAUGCUAAACAUACAUGAAGAUGUGAAAACAUGUUGGAUUUGUGGAAUCGCUAAUGACCACAGUUAAAUGGCGGGAUCCAAAAUCCGGUUAGAUUUCACAACGUCAUAUUAAUUUAGAAUUUAUGAUACCUUUA
rnacentral:sRNA from 1 species